rnacentral:rRNA from 1 species
GACGAACGCUGGCGGCGUGCUUAACACAUGCAAGUCGUACGGUAAGGCCCUUUCGGGGGUACACGAGUGGCGAACGGGUGAGUAACACGUGAGUAACCUGCCCACAACUUUGGGAUAACGCUAGGUAACUGGUGCUAAUACUGGAUAUGUGCUCCUGCUGCAUGGUGGGGGUUGGAAAGCUCCGGCGGUUGUGGAUGGACUCGCGGCCUAUCAGCUUGUUGGUGGGGUAGUGGCCUACCAAGGCGGCGACGGGUAGCCGGCCUGAGAGGGUGACCGGCCACAUUGGGACUGAGAUACGGCCCAGACUCCUACGGGAGGCAGCAGUGGGGAAUAUUGCACAAUGGGCGCAAGCCUGAUGCAGCAACGCCGCGGGCGGGAUGACGGCCUUCGGGUUGUAAACCGCUUUCAGCAGGGACGAAGCUUUUUGUGACGGUACCUGCAGAAGAAGCACCGGCUAACUACGUG